rnacentral:rRNA from 1 species
CGCGGCCUAUCAGCUUGUUGGUGGGGUAAUGGCCUACCAAGGCGACGACGGGUAGCCGGCCUGAGAGGGCGACCGGCCACACUGGGACUGAGACACGGCCCAGACUCCUACGGGAGGCAGCAGUGGGGAAUAUUGCACAAUGGGCGGAAGCCUGAUGCAGCGACGCCGCGUGAGGGAUGACGGCCUUCGGGUUGUAAACCUCUUUCACCCAUGACGAAGCGCAAGUGACGGUAGUGGGAGAAGAAGCGCCGGCCAACUACGUGCCAGCAGCCGCGGUAAGACGUAGGGCGCGAGCGUUGUCCGGAAUUAUUGGGCGUAAAGAGCUCGUAGGCGGCUUGUCGCGUCGGCUGUGAAAUCCCGUGGCUCAACUGCGGGUCUGCAGCCGAUACGGGCAGGCUAGAGUUCGGUAGGGGAGACUGGAAUUCCUGGUGUAGCGGUGAAAUGCGCAGAUAUCAGGAGGAACGCCGAUGGCGAAGGCAGGUCUCUGGGCCGAUACUGACGCUGAGGAGCGAAAGCGUGGGGAGCGAACAGGAUUAGAUACCCUGGUAGUCCACGCUGUAAACGUUGGGCGCUAGGUGUGGGGGACCUCUCCGGUUCUCUGUGCCGCAGCUAACGCAUUAAGCGCCCCGCCUGGGAGUACGGA